rnacentral:rRNA from 1 species
AAUAUUGCACAAUGGAGGAAACUCUGAUGCAGCGACGCCGCGUGAGUGAAGAAGGUCUUCGGAUCGUAAAGCUCUGUCCUUGGUGAAGAAAAAAAUGACGGUAGCCAAGGAGGAAGCCCCGGCUAACUACGUGCCAGCAGCCGCGGUAAUACGUAGGGGGCGAGCGUUGUCCGGAUUUACUGGGCGUAAAGGGUGAGUAGGCGGUUAUAUAAGUCAGAUGUAAAAGGCGUAGGCUCAACUUACGUAAGCAUUUGAAACUGUAUGACUUGAGUACAGGAGAGGUAAGCGGAAUUCCUAGUGUAGCGGUGAAAUGCGUAGAUAUUAGGAGGAACACCAGUGGCGAAGGCGGCUUACUGGACUGUAACUGACGCUGAGUCACGAAAGCGUGGGUAGCAAACAGG